rnacentral:rRNA from 1 species
UACGUAGGGUGCGAGCGUUAAUCGGAAUUACUGGGCGUAAAGCGUGCGCAGGCGGUUUUGUAAGCCAGAUGUGAAAUCCCCGGGCUUAACCUGGGAAUGGCAUUUGGGACUGCAAGGCUGGAGUGCGGCAGAGGAGACUGGAAUUCCUGGUGUAGCAGUGAAAUGCGUAGAUAUCGGGAGGAACACCGGUGGCGAAGGCGGCGACCUGGGUAGAUACUGACGCUGAGGCGCGAAAGCGUGGGGAGCAAACAGG